rnacentral:misc_RNA from 1 species
AACGGUCUAUACCUGCGGUACCUGCGGAAGGAUCAUUAUUGAAUAAACUUGAUGAGUUGUUGCUGGCUCCUUGGAGCAUGUGCACACUUGUCACCUUUAUCCAUCCACCUGUGCACCUUCUGUAGUCUUGGAGAAUGAUCACCUCAAUAGGUUUUAUAGCCCAUUGGAUGUGAGGAAUGCUUUGUGAAGACAUGGCUUUUCUCAAGGAUUGACUCCAUGACUAUGUUUUUCAUACACCAU